GAUGAAGAACGUAGUAAAAUGCGAUAAGUAAUGUGAAUUGCAGAAUUCAGUGAAUCAUCGAAUCUUUGAACGCGCAUUGCGCCCGCCAGUAUUCUGGCGGGCAUGCCUGUUCGAGCGUCAUUUCAACCCUCAAGCACAGCUUGGUGUUGGGACUCGCGUUAAUUCGCGUUCCCCAAAUUGAUUGGCGGUCACGUCGAGCUUCCAUAGCGUAGUAGUAAAACCCUCGUUACUGGUAAUCGUCGCGGCCACGCCGUUAAACCCCAACUUCUGAAUGUUGACCUCGGAUCAGGUAGGAAUACCCGCUGAACUUAAGCAUAUCAAUAAGCGGAGGA
rnacentral:misc_RNA from 1 species